UUUCCUAAUGUCAUAUUUUCACAUUGAAUAAACCUAUUUAUCAUACAAAUUAAUGUUCCAAGUAAAUGUUCCAAACUCUCAACUUGAGUAUUAGCAAAGAAUACAGUCAACCAUAUCCAAAUCAUAUUCACUUGUUAAAAAAAGUUAUAUUUUAAAUUACAUCACAUUAAUUUUAUGGGGGAGUGUAACAGAACAUCUGAAUUUUCAGAAUAUUAUCACCACCUACUGGUAUGUUUGUCCCUUUAAACUGUCACUCUCACGAGAGUUUCUGCAAGAGUUUGAUGCACUCAGUUGGCUUUAGUUGGUCUGAUAAAUCCUGUAGUCUGUGAUCCCCAAGCAGGUCUGGUUGUUAAGUAUGUGGUCCCCAGUCUUUCAUGUCUUGACACAAAAAUCUGUCUGUUAAUGUGAACACCUAAUAUUUUAAAUCUGUGAACUGUGCAAGUCUCAAGUGUUUCCCUGGCUUUACAGAACAAAUGAGGAACUGGCACUGGAGAAUUGAGGAAAUAACUGACUGGAAACAGAAAAGUAACUGGACAACACAGGGAAGCCAGCAUGGCAGAUACUUGACAAUGGAAAACAGGAGAACCUGGUGAGGUAGUGAGGAAACUGACUGACUUAUAACUACUGGGAGGGUUGAUGGGUGGCAUGAGAGCCAGGUGUGACUAAUGAGGAGAAUGUAGUGCAGCUGGGGAAGAACAGAACCAGAUGAGGAGAACUGAGGAAGCAGACAUUUGGAAGCCAUUUGAUACAAAGUGAUGACAGCUGCAUGGGUUUCUUUCAAGGUUGACCGGCCUGUCAGAGGGAACAAAACGGAGUAAAGGAUGUUUGAAGGAGCCAAAUGUGCAGAAAUUGCAAAAAUAAAAGACAAAGAAUGUAAAUCUGAUGGCGA